UUUACCGGUGGCUGUCGGUAUCGUCUUUGUUUUGUUACGUCGUUCGUCGGCGAAAGCGCCCGCUUUUCUAUCUCACUCCGCGAGUGAGCGAUCGAAAUGAUAGAUUUUUUGUCUUUUGUCCCGCGAUAAAGCUACGUGUACGUGUUAAUGUUUGGAAAAUUACAUACAAGUAAAAAUAUAUACAUACAUAUACAUGUAUGUGUAGUUUUUUCUGGGCAAUUGGUGCAAACCAUGCGAACAAAUACGAAAAAAAAAACAUUGACGAACAAAGAAGCGGCGCGCGCAUGCAGACAAAAGCAGAAAAGUUUUGCCGGUUUUGCCCGAAUGCCCGAUGGAUUGAACCGUAAUUUCCAAUUGAAUUUCUUUCUCGAUAGUCCCGAUUGUUUGCACCUUUGUGGCACAUGGAUUACAAAAUUUUUUAUUAUAUUCAACACUCUGCGACGAAGUGAGUUUACGAUUGAAAAGUGGAUAUAUUUUGGUGCCUUAAACUUUCGGCAGAGUGCAGCACUGUACGCCGGGAAAUCGCAUUGAAAGCCGGUUUAUGUUAUAUAACAAUCCGUUUACCACUUUUGUUCUUGUUUUUGUUUCUCUUUUUAUUGCAAGAAGCGACAGUGAAGGAAAAGAUUAAAAAAAAAGUUUUGUAUCGUGAUACUGACCUUUCGGAAAAAUCUUGUGACGAUAUCCGCUCGUGAAUUCUUCGCGACGAAACACGCUUCUCAACCGAGACUUAUUCGCGUCCCCAAAAACCCCAUUUCCGCCAUCUCUGUUUUCGAUAUUUCCGUGUCCCAGUCGGAGAGUCAGUGCGUGCAGUGCGUGAGCGUUUUCGUUUUGUCUUUCUUUUCACUUCUAAUGAAGUUUUUACUGCUCGGUGUUUUUGGAUUUACGAGUGAAGUUGAAAAUAAUUAUUAAUACUUAUCGCAGUGUGAUUCUCGUCUCCGGUACCAAGAUUUUGUGGAAGACUUCGCAGGUUGCAAUAUGCAGCGGGGGAGGCGGAAAACGUGUUCGGCUCGAUCGCUCGAUUCCGUAAGCUGACGCAGAUACCGCCAUUUCCCGGGAAAAUCGCCUACACAGAGUGACAAAUGAUUUUUUUUUUCCCAAAGAUUAAACAUCGCUCCGAGUCAACGCCUCGCUCUCGGUCCCUCGGCAUCUUCGGAGACUUGUUUUUCAGCGUAUAGAAUCAUCCAAAUUUGUGAGAAUCAAGAAGAGAAAAAGUAUCAACAAUUUGGACUCUGCAUUUGACAUGACGAAAAAAGCGUCUGUGACCAAAAAUUCAUCGAAUAUCCCGUCGAGUAACGAACGGUCUCGAACCGAAUGAGAAAAACAACGUUAAAAUGAAACAGUUUGAAACGAUCGUAUUAAGGCGAGCUACUCAUGUCCAAUGGUUCGAAUUAAUCGUCACGAACUAAUGAAUCGAUACGAGAACGAAAGUGAGAUCGCAGUACACUUAUUAUAAAUUAAAGACGAGUUCUCAUAUGGGCGAUGAUCUCGAGCAGGCAAUAAUGGGGUCGGAGUGAGCGCGCGAGCACAAACGAGAAGGAUGCGAAAUAAUGAAAAUUUUACGAUUUCGUGCCGACUCGUGAACGAUCCUAAUGAAACUCGAUGCCUUUUUCCAUUCGCUCCUUCUUUCGUACCAGAAUAAUCAAACAAAAGGUCACUUGCGCACAUACACACCGGAGUUGUCAUCAAUGCGUCAUCGAACCGAUGUAAACGUCAGAACAAAAAGUCUUUUUCGAUUCUUACAGUCGAGCCUCUUCCCCCUUUCCGACGCGGACGCUUUCCCUCACUCUGAAAAGCGUUUUCGAGGUUUGCGGCCAACCGUCUCAGCCCGGAGCAAAUUUCUAGCUUCAAAUCGAUUUGUAUUAUAAUAUUGAAUUAUAUGUAUAUGUAGAAGAGAUUAAUGACGACGUUCGGUUACUGCGGAGAUAACGGACUGAGAAGAAUAGAAUAAAAUCUUGAGAAAAACGUAAGUGACGCAAAAUCGACUUCAUAAAAAGAAAUCAAACUGUUUUCAUUGAUUAAUUAUUGUUCUUUGAAUUAUGUCUCCACGAAAAGUGACGAAUUCGUUGAAAUAACUCAAGAAAAUAACCUCGCGUUCUCUGGUUAUUUUCUCUGUUAAAUUUCCUCCGCUCAGCUCCUGUGUGGUCUGUACUUCAUCGAGUUCGAUAUUCGCAAUGAUAUUCGAUAUGAGAUAAUAAUGUCGAGGUAAUGCGAGACAAUUAUAAUGAGCCAAAUAUUAAUAAUCAUGUGAUAAUUAUAUUUCGUAAUAACGCUAAUAAUAUUCAUUAAAUUAAUCAUAAUAAUGUGAUAAUAGUAAUAAUAACAGUAAUAAUAACAGUAAUAAUAGUAACAUGAAGAACAAGGGGGAGAACGAGAGUACAUCUGAUGAUGCGAUAAAAUAAGUGUUAUCAUCGGGUCUGAGUGAUACGGACGUAACAAAGUUCGUCGAGGUAUUCGGUUCGGUUAGCGUGAGUAACGUAACGUAAAAACAUUAUUUAUCUUUGUUUUUGCUGUUUUUAAUGACACGUGGAGAACAGAUCUGGUUUUGGGUAAUUACGAUGCACUAGUUGCGAUAUGAAAGUUGCAUAUAUCAUAAGUAUAUAUGAACACAUAUAUACGUACAUAUAUUGCCUCGGAGUUGUGUCAGGGUUACAAAUCAUUAGAGACGUUUUUAAAAACGGUAGCCAUCGAGGAAUCAUUUUGUCGAUUGAAACGCUCGACCGAGUUACUUUCGCGCUCGUCGUUAGAAGCUUCUUCGGAUCUUCGUACGUUGCUUGGCGUUUUUAUUUAACUGAGGCUAAUUCGUCGUUUCAAUCCGUGAUACAAAAUUCUUCCUCAACGGCUACUUUUCAGUGUUUUCCAUCAACCCCCGGUAUAUUUACUUUUUUGGUUUCGCUUGUUUUGUCAUUCUCAUGUUCUUAUUCGAGCGUCGUUUAUCUUUUCGUUAUUU